rnacentral:rRNA from 1 species
AGUGGCGGACGGGUGAGUAACGCGUGAGUAACCUGCCUAUCAGUGGGGAAUAACGUUUGGAAACGAACGCUAAUACCGCAUAAUGCAUAGAGACCGCAUGAUUUUUAUGCCAAAGAUUUAUUGCUGAUAGAUGGACUCGCGUCCGAUUAGAUAGUUGGCGGGGCAACGGCCCACCAAGUCUGCGAUCGGUAGCCGGACUGAGAGGUUGAACGGCCACAUUGGAACUGAGAAACGGUCCAGACUCCUACGGGAGGCAGCAGUGGGGAAUAUUGGACAAUGGGGGAACCCUGAUGCAGCAACGCCACGUGUGGGAAGAAGCAUUUCGGUGUGUAAACCACUGUCGUGAGGGAAUAAUGCUUGAUUUCGGUCAAGUUGAAUGUACCUCAAAAGGAAGCACCGGCAAACUUCGUGCCAGCAGCCGCGGUAAUACGAGGGGUGCAAGCGUUGUUCGGAUUUAUUGGGUUUAAAGGGUGCGUAGGCGGGCUGGUAAGUCAGCGGUGAAACGCAGGUGCUCAACACCUGACCUGCCGUUGAAACUGCCGGUCUUGAAUGCGGAUGCUGUGGGAGGAAUGUGUGGUGUAGCGGUGAAAUGCAUAGAUAUCACACAGAACACCGAUUGCGAAGGCAUCUCACAAAUCCGUAAUUGACGCUGAGGCACGAAAGUGCGGGGAUCGAACAGGAUUAGAUACCCUGGUAGUCCGCACAGUAAACGAUGAUAACUCGCUGUCGGCGAUAGACGGUCGGCGGGCCAAGCGAAAGCGAUAAGUUAUCCACCUGGGGAGUACGACCGCAAGGUUGAAACUCAAAGGAAUUGACGGGGGCCCGCACAAGCGGAGGAACAUGUGGUUUAAUUCGAUGAUACGCGAGGAACCUUACCCGGGCUCGAACGGCAGAUGAAGAGAUCCAGAGAUGGUGACGCCCUUCGGGGCAUCUGUCGAGGUGCUGCAUGGUUGUCGUCAGCUCGUGCCGUGAGGUGUCGGCUUAAGUGCCAUAACGAGCGCAACCCUUGUUGCCAGUUACCAUCAAGUAAAGUUGGGGACUCUGGCGAGACUGCCACCGUAAGGUGAGAGGAAGGGGGGGAUGACGUCAAAUCAGCACGGCCCUUACGUCCGGGGCGACACACGUGUUACAAUGGUGAGUACAGAGGGCAGCUACACAGCGAUGUGGUGCAAAUCUCGAAAACUCAUCUCAGUUCGGAUCGGAGUCUGCAACUCGACUCCGUGAAGUUGGAUUCGCUAGUAAUCGCGCAUCAGCCAUGGCGCGGUGAAUACGUUCCCGGGCCUUGCACUCACCGCCGGUCAA